rnacentral:piRNA from 1 species
UCCNCAGCAGUGCUGAUCGGCCUCUACGUC